rnacentral:rRNA from 1 species
GGAGGGUGCAAGCGUUGUCCGGAAUUAUUGGGUGUAAAGGGUGCGCAGGCGUCCCGGGAAGUUUUCGGUGAAAUCCUUCAGCUUAACUGAAGAAGGGCCGGAAAAACUCCCGGGAUUGAGUCCGGAAGAGGUUGGUGGAAUUCGUGGUGUAGCGGUGAAAUGCAUAGAGAUCACGAAGAACACCGGUGGCGAAGGCGGCCAACUGGUCCGGUACUGACGCUGAGGCACGAGAGCGUGGGGAGCGAACAGGAUUAGAUACCCUGGUUGUCCACGCUGUAAACGAUGUAUGCUAGUUGUCGGCCCCUCGGGGCCGGUGACGCAGUUAACGCGCUAAGCAUACCACCUGGGGAGUACGUUCGCAAGAAUG